UACUCAGGGACAGGAGAACAGGAGAUGGAC
rnacentral:piRNA from 1 species